rnacentral:tRNA from 1 species
UCCCUGAUAGCUCAGUUGGUAAAGAAUCUGCCUGCAAUGCAGGAAACUCCGGUUCAAUUCCUGGUUUGAGAA